CCUCUGCUUUAGCAGCGGCGUCGAUAUGUUCCGCUAACGCUGCUGGAAGAACCGGGCCGGUCCCCCAAAGCUGGGGUGUGUGUACAGACCACUUAACUCUGUCCCGGCUUCGUGAGGCGCCUCAUCCCAGAAAGGUGUGUGCAAGUGGACGUAGGAGAAGGACAUUUUCACUUUGCCUGUAUCGGGGAGCACUCAGCCUGCCUUCCCUCCACCUCAGAGCACGUGAAGUGGAUCAUCCUCAUCCAGGAACUUCUCAGCCACGGAGCCCCAGGUGACCAUCAGAAGGAAAGAACGCUUGUGUGAAUAUCAGAGCUUGAAGACCUUCAGUCAGUACUGCCACUGGACCUGCUCCUUGUGCAACAGCUUGAGAACCAGUAUCUCAGGUCUCUCCUUAGCCUGCCUGGGCCAGGUAAGCCAUCUUGAGAUGUCACAUCUCAACACCUCGCAGAACCUUAGAGUCACAGAAUGGUUAGAGUUGGAAGGCACCUUAAAGAUCAUCCAGUUCCAACCCCCCUGCCAUGGGCAGGGACACC